rnacentral:lncRNA from 1 species
CUUUCAUUAACAACGGCUUUCAUGUUGUCAUCAAAACAGAACCCAUAUUAUGUUAUAUGUGUUAUUUUCCAGUUGAAUAAGUCUUAGUUGUUAUGAGUUAAGCCUAAUAAGUAGAAAGUAGAGUGUAGUCUUAUAGGGGUUAGUUGCAACUUAACGUUGGAGUGGGUUGUUGUAACUUAGUCCUAUUUUAUUGGUAAGAUAUUUGUAAUCACCUUCUAUUUAAGGUGCAGCAUUCAUUAAUAAAAGUAUGCUUAUGAAUUAUCUCCAAUUAUCCUCAACACUUAUUGUUGUUAUUGUAACACCCCGGGUCGGCAGGUGGUUUGCCAAGAGGGUGGGUCAUAUGUUGCAUGAGAGGGGGAUGAUCCCGACAUUGGAAUAUAGGUAUAGAUCCGUCAUAUAUAAUCACCGAGGCUUUUUGGGAGUAUCCCUCAUAUAUAAACAUUUCUCGUAAUGUUUUUCAUUAUUGCUGCCCUUGAAAUCUCGUAAGAUUGUCUGUAUAUUUGCAUGAGACGUGUUCACUAGAAUCAGACAUAGAAGACAUUAAGAUUGAUAAAAACAACAUAGUAAUUAGGAGGAUAUAUACCCAAGCUGUGGCAUUGAAACAGACACAUUUCGUAGUUACUUUCUUGUCCGACUCCACUUCAUAUAUGAAUUCACUAGACUUCAUCACCAACAAAGUUCUUGCUUCCUCAAUCCUCAAAGCUAAAACACCUUCCAUGGUUGGACACAAAGUAGAAGUCCACUUCAACGAAUCGUCACGUCUAUCCAACAUCAUCUUCAUAACACGUGACCUAAUUCUAUCAAGCAUUGGAAGUAUGGGCAUAGAACGUUGUGUGUACCCUGGGUAAAAUACCCGACAGGUGUCAUCGGUGGCUGUAUAAGAAGCUAAACCGAGAACACUUGAACGUUAGCCAGCCAGACCUGGACUAUCGGGUAGGGUCCAACCCGGUCUCAAGAAGUCUGCAUACGCUCUGUAGAUCCUGACCACUGGAUGGGCCACGAUCAGUGGGUGGAGCCCCGAUUACUGUAUAAGAAGUUGAGCCGUGGGCUCCCAUACAUCAGCCAGGCCUGUCUUAAUCAAGUAAGCUAGGUCCGACCCAUUGAAGUCCAUCAGCGACGAAGUCCCAUCCAAAGGCUUAUCAUAGAAGUCCAAAGGACCUGGCCAGGGAGUAUGAAAUGCAGAUUGGGCCUCCGGUCUGAGGAGUCUAGCCCAAGUCUUUGCUUUCAAACUUGGUCAAAUCCAAGUCCUAACUAACUGGAUAAGUCCAACAAGAUUUCAAGCUAACAGAACCCACUCUUCUAGCCCGCUGCAGAACAUAAAGGAAGACCCAGGUUGAACCAGAACCUAUCAGAGAAUGCCAUGUGGCAGUCGUCCUUGUCCAAGGGGAUUCAAACCGAGGGAUAAUCGUCAAGCAGCAUGCAUGUGUGCUAUCUCUGCGGGAACAUCUUCACAGUUUGAACUGCCCGAGUUCAUGGAGUCGAAACCGAAGGAGCGGUUGAGCCAGCCUCCUCCGGUCCACUAUAAAUUCAGGAGUUCUCAACCUCCUAAACUACGAGUCUUUCACUUAACAACCUCCAUUACUAAAUCACAUUAUAUAUUGAAAAGUGUUUAGAGGUGGAUUAAAGUUGGUUAUCAAAGUAUAUUGGUCAUGGUUCCAUAUGUAUUACUUGGAUUUUGAUAUGUGUAUAUUGAAAAGCGUAAAACCCUUUGAACAACCUUCUCUAUUUCUCUCUCAUUUUCCCUCUUCUCACUUUCUCUUUCAAUGAUUAUAAAGUGGAUACAAUAUUCAAAAAUAUGUAAAAAUCUUUUUAUGUUCAAAUUUUCUGUGUUUUGUAGUGCGAAUUAGUUCGUAUAACUUAUGUAAAUUGAGAUAUGUCUCUUGAACUGAAAGAUACGUCAUCUGUAUAACCUAUGUAAAUUCAUAUAUGUUACUCUUAUUGAAUAUUUGUUUUAAAAGAAUAUAUUAUAUUAUAAAACUAGUAAUCUAACUCCUAAAAUUGAAUGUGACAGAAUAAGAAUUUUAAUAUUAUUAUCUUCAAAUUAUUAAUGAUAUUCGUGGCAGUGCCAUGGGUUUUACUAGUAAUUUAUGAUCCAUAACUGCCCAUUUUUAAAUUACAAAAUAAAAAAUAAACUUCCUAUUGAUAAUAUUAUAAUAAAUUAGUAGAAUUACAUUCCCUCUAGAACCAUUAAUCUUGAGUAAGUUUUUUUUUUUUUUUUUUUAGAGUAACUUGUGUCUUACCAGUCCUCGUAAUCUCGAAUUUGAUAGAUAAAACAAUAAUGCAAAGUCUUGUAUUUCACAGAAUUACAAUUAAAAUAUAUACUCUCCUAAACCAAAGCUAAUACAAGGAAACUACCAAAAAAAAACUACUCUUAACAGAAUUAUAUAUAUGUCGUGAAAUACUUAAUAAGAUAGAAUAUGGUCGGAAUCUUUUAUGUAUGAUUAAGGAUUGGAUGAGUAAGAUGGUGGAAUUGAAGUGGAAGUCUUUCAUGUGUAUAGGGAGAGUAACGAAGUAGUAGAUCACCUUGCUAGCCUUUGUAGCUCACCGGAGUUAUGUGUAAACCUUUUUUUCUCCUCCUCUAGAUGCCAAGCUACUUGAGUAGGUAACAGAUGACUCUAAUGGGAGGGAAUUUGUAAGGAUUUCUAUAUAUAUAUAUACAUACAUACACUGGUAGGGGUCUGCCAAACCCUAAAUUUCUUCAACAAAAUAAAAAAUAAUAAUAUGUUCGACUAAUGUUUAUGCCACGGAUGACAUUAAAUUAGAGAGGUCCUACUGUAUAUGAAUCUAAUGAUAUAUAUGAAUGUUCCUAAUUUACAGGUUCAUGAUAUGACUUUAUCACACAAAUAAACCAACCGCCCGAUUGAAUUUUUGUUGUCGCCCAGGUUCCAUUUCGAAUGCAUGGUACAUGUAACGUGUUGGAGUUAUUUUGCAGAUCAUGUCAUAAUAGUGUUUUGUAAGUAGCAACAGGGAUGGUUAUUCAACAAGCUAAGUUGUUCACCACCUCUGCUACAAGAUAUUGAGGAUUUACUUAGCUUCCUGAUCAAAUUCAUUAUCAUCAUCUCCAAUGAAACUAUAGACAGUAAAAAAACAAAAAGCCAGUCUUCCAAAUUUCAACUUACAAACUAUUAAUCAUAGGCAAAGACAGUAAAAAGCAAAUAAAAAAGAAAAAAACAACCGCAUUCAACUUAAGCUUGCUUGAACAGCCUCUGGAGUCUUCAAACCAAAGCUAAACUAAGGUCUUGUAUUCAAGUUCAUCAUUCGGAUGACCUCGGAAUCCCUUCAAACAGUUUUCCCAAUGUGCCUUGUGUAUCCAUCUCAACCAUUUUAUCAAAAGCUAGUUGCUUUCCUUUCACAAAUACUACAGGAGGGUAUACACCCUUUUUACCUAGCACGGUUUGCAAUUCACUCAUAUAGGCUCGUCCAGCAGUAUCUCGCUCAUCAACCUCAAUUUGAUAUGAUUUUAACAUGGAAACAAUAUAUUCAGAAUAAUCAAUGUUGUCUCUACGACCAGACGAAACUGUGUAAACAACAACCGCAUUUUCACCUCCAGGCGGACACCUUGAUUUGAAUUUUGCAAGCUCCAUAUUUGGUUCACUUAUUACAGGCCUUUCAAAAAUGGCAGAAUUGACCUUUGGAUGCCCCAACUUGGCUGGGAGAGAAAACACCAAAGAAUUAGAACUACCACUCAUGCUGCUGCUACUUUCAGCAAAAUCAUAUGUAAAUGGUUCGAGCGGCAACCACGGUUCUAUCUCGCCCUCAAGCAUCUUCACCACUUUGCUCAUAUCUUCACCACUUUGAAAUUUUUCCUGAAUCGUUGCGUUAUCCACAUGAGAGUUUUUCUCCUGCAGACUGAAAGAGUAACAUCAAAUUUGCCAGUCUCAACAUCAUAUAGAAGAGUUAGGUAAGAGAUUAUUAAUUGUGCGGGAAAAAAACACUUGAGAGCUAUCUAUAUAUAGUACCUUUCAGCAAUUGAACUUGCAAUUUUUGAAGAAACUUGUGAGUAGGACAAGUUCACUGGCAUUGUUCGCCCACCAAUUCGUAUCGAGGUACUGCCUUCACUUGACAAGUCAUAAAACGGAAAGGGAUCAAGUGGCAGUGAUGGUUCAAUAGCACCCUCAAGCAUCAUCACAACCGUGCUCAUGAGUGGUCUUAGUUGGGGAAUAUCUUGAGCGCACAAUAAUGCAACUAAACUUAAUCUCUUCGCUUUAUCUUUAUCUUUCUCUAAAAUGCCACAAUCAGUGAUCAUUUCAUCGAGUUGUCCAUUCUUAACAGUCUUCCAAACUUGAAACGGAAACCACUCUUGGCCCUCCCAAAUCCUCUUUCUCGUCAAAAGUUCAAACAACAUCAUACCGAAGCUGUAAACAUCACAUUUAUGACUCGUUAUGUUGUUCCAUCCUAAACAAACCUCCAGGGCUGCAUAACCAUAGGUCCCUCGGAAGCUGUUCUUUGAGACGUGACUAAGAUCACUAUUAUUACCAAGCUUGGCCAAUCCAAAAUCGGCAAUCUUUGGAGAAUGAUUCGAGUCAAGAAGCACAUUUUCAGCUUUUAUGUCAUGGUGAAUUAUUGGCGGACUACAGAUCUCGUGCAAAUAAGAAAGUCCUUGUGCUAUCUGUACUGCAAUAUGAAACAGUUUUACCCACUCUAUACUGGAAUCGUUUUGAUACAACACUUUAUCAAAAGAUUCAUUCUCCACGUAUUCAUAAACAAGUGCUUUCGUGUUGUCUUCCAAGCAAAAACCAUACAGUUUAACCAAGUUUUGAUGGUAGGUUCUGCUCAUUAUGGCUACUUCGUCUAGAAAUUGACUAGCCAUGAACUUAUUUUUCAUAUUAUCAUUUGCAUUAUAUUUCAGCACCUUAACUGCCACUUUUUUAUCGUAAGCAAAUCCUUUGUAAACGUUUCCAAACUCACCAGAUCCUAAUGUAUCAGCAGUAAAAUUUGACGUAAAUUUCAGAAGCUCUUUAUGUGAAAAUAAUUGUACUUUCUCAUUUUGAAUUCCGCUUAAAAACAUUUGGAUUUGAUUUGAGCUGUCAUCUCCCUUGCUUAGCAUACCAGGAUUUCCCUCCAUCUUAGGUGAUACUAUAUUGCAACUGUCAGGUACAAUAUGAAGUUGCCGAUCCUAACAGUAUCAAAGAUAACCUGAUGAUCAGCUAGAGAAAAAGAAAAGAAAAGCUAAUGACUGACAGAAAAGUCAGUUGAACUCAAUCAUUAUUGUCAUUGUUUAUCCAUUUUUAUGUUUAAUUUUGUCGAUUAUUUGAGAUCAUGAAGGGUACCUAGACUGAUUUCAGAUCCGGGUUUUCUUAAAACCAUCAAGAAAUAUCUGAUGUACACUAACUAAGCUAGCUAGCUUUGAUUAUCAAAAAAAAAAAAAAAAAUCCAAAUUAAUCUUACCUUGACACUAUCUUUCUUUCAGCUGUUGAUAUGUGUAUGCUCGAAUUCUUUGUAUCUUCAAAAAGCAAAGAGGCAAUUUUUAUCAAGUAUUCUAUACAUAAUACAAGAUUGAACAACACUUUUAGGCAUAGCUUGCAUACUUACCAAAUACUGUAUAACCCAGCAGAGAGAAGACUGGGUUAGAAGUUGUUUCUAUGUCACCUUGAUGGGAAGAGAUAUGCAUAUGAUGCUUCCUUCUUGGAAUCUUUAUCUCUUAUGAAGUUGUAUUUUUUUAAUGCCAAGUGGAACAACAAGUUGGAAAUGUUUAUACACUAAUUAAUUAAACACCACAUGGAAGACUUUGAAUAUCAAGAUUUAAAUUGUUUGAACAAAUAGUUCUAACAUUUUAUAAAGUUUUUGAUAUAAUUUAUGACUCAUAACUGCCCAUUUUUAAAUUACAAAAUAAGAAAUAAAGUUCCUAUUGAUAAUAUUAUAAUAAAUUAGUAGAAUUACAUUCCUUCUAGAACCAUUAAUCUCGAGUAAGUUUUUUUUUUUUUUUUUGAGUAACUUGUUUCUUACCAGUCCUCGUAAUCUCGAAUUUGAUAGAUAAAACAAUAAUGCAAAGCCAUGUAUAGUAGUAAUCUUAAGAUUUGAUAGAUAAAACAAUAAUGCAAAGUCUUGUAUUUCACAGAAUUACAAUUAAAAUAUCAGAAUUUUCAUCCCAAGGAUCAAAUAUAGAGUUUUCUUAGGUUUUAGGAAAUCGGAAAACUUUUGUUAGGAUUUACCUCGAACAAAACCGUAUUUUUCAGGCAGACCAAAUUACCCUUCCACUACCAACACAGAAUAGACGUGAGAAAGAGUUGGGGGGAGGACAUUGUUGGUUGAAUGUGGGAGUUGGUAGCGAGAUUGAGAAACAAUAGUGGUAUAAGUGGUGCGAACUUGGGGAGUAUUGAAGAAUUGAGAUGGUUGGGAGGUUUAUAGGGUUGUAUGUAUGGGUAGGGAUGUGAAAAUAUGUUUUGUGGUGUUUGGCGGCAACCAUGAAUAUUGAGAGAUGCAAAGUCAAUAAUGGAAACUUGUGGUAAAGUUGUGGUGGUGGUGGAAAAUUGGGGGAUAAAAUGUUCAUUUUGGUUAUUGUACUUUGUUUGUUUUUUGCAAUUUGGUCACAACACUUUUUUCCUGUCAGUUUGGUCAUAGUAGAGGGUGGGAGGGUGAGAACAUCAACAAUAGAUUGCUUACCUUCAAACUUAUUAAAUUGAAGAGUAAGUUUCUCGAUUAAAGUGGUUAGACGAUUAAUAGCCGAAUUGAAUUCAAUCUUCGUCACAUAAUCUCUAAGAUUAUUGACUUGGGAGCGGGGUGAAGAAUCUCCACCAUUGUAAGAUCGAAACGUAGCUCUUGAUACCAAUUGACAUAGCGGAAGCAAUUAAAAAUCAAACCUUGAAUAACCCAAGGUGAGAAUUGUCCUGAAACAAGGAAGAACUAAAACAAAACUAAAAAAAAUAGACAAUCUUAAUUGUAUUGAUUGAAUAAUUGAUCUACAAAACAUGACUCUUUAUAUAGACUAAAGACUUGUUCCGAACCGUGCUCACCCCUAAAACCAACUAUUCUAGAAUUUCAAGACUCUAAAAUAAAAAUUACUAAAUAAAAUAAAAUAAAUUUUUUUUUUUCUAACAUUACAACAUCAACAAUGACGUCAUCACUUCUGCAUUACAUUCAUUGCAUUGAGGGAAUGAGAAAGAAACAACCUCUAACUUCAAAUUUUGCAAGUUGCCACAUGUAGAACUAAUUAUUGUACUUAGAAUUAAAACAUAUAAAACACGCAAUUCAUGCAUGCCGGCCUGUAACCUUGCCCUGUACUAUAUACAAGAAGUAUCCCUAUCGACUAGUUGAUUAGUUCUAAUUAUAUUUUUAAAUGCAAUAUUAAUUAUAUACUCAUUAAAUUAAUAAUAAUACACUAAAUAGCACACAAGAUGCGAAGCUGCAGCAUGUUGACUUAUACAAAGUCGUCUUAAACUCCCAACUCCCAACUCCCAACACCCCUUCUUCCAUAAAGCAAGACGAUGCCAUUAAGAUGGGAGAUCUAAUAAGAACAACUUCUAAGCAAGUCUAAAGUGAUCUUCAUUUGGUUGUUUACCAAAUAAAUAAAGUGUUUAGGGCACUAUCAUGCAUGAAACUUGCAAAGCUAGUGGGAUCAAGUUAGUUAUUUAUUGAAUUUUCCAGGUAAUUUAAUUAUGUGUCUUUCUUCCGAUAGUUCUGUUUUUGUAUUGCAAUUAAUCCUGCUGCAGUUUUUAGUUCUUUGAUCAAUUGUGUUUAGUUCAGUAUUUCGACCAUAGAUCAGAUCUGAAAUUAAUCUCUCCUUGUAGAUAUAACACAUAGCUAGCUAUUCCACACACCAUUCAUUCCCACUCUGGUCCCUCAAACAAGUGCUGAAUGAGAACCCAAUAUAUGUGCAAUAUAACAAUAGUAAAACAAACAAUAAAGCAAUAAACAAAUAAAGAACACACGAUAUUUUUAACGUGGUAAAAACCAAUAUGGGAAACGUCCACGGUUGUCCUCGCGACAACAAAUAAAUUCACUAGAUGAAAAGAGAUGUACAAACCUAUCAACUACCUGCAAUCACUGCGAGUUGACACUACUGGUUAUCUCUAACACCUUGACUUCACCAGAGUACCUUGAUGUACGCACAUGACACUCGAACUUCUUGAUGAACACACAAGGAUACUCGACUUCUUGAUGAACACACAAGAAGACUCGAAGCUGAUCUCAAUAAUUAUUCAACAAAGAAGAAGAAGAUGAAUGGGGAAGAAGAAGAUGAGUUCAAUCACCAAAACAACCUAAACCAAAACCUAAACAAACUCCAAGACUAGAGAUGAAUUGGACGGCUAAAGAAAUCGUUUGUUCAUUGGGUAAAGAAACCCUAUAUAUAGUUAGGGUUUGGAAACAUAGAAAAUGGGCCGGACUUUGCAGAUUUUACAUUGGACGUACGUACGUCGAAACAGCGUACGUACGUCCGCACACGGAAAUAGUUCGCUGCCUGCUUGGACGUACGUACGUCCUAACUAGGUACGUACGUCCUGACCAAAACAUGUUUGCUGCCUAACAUGACGUACGUACACCCUAACUAGGUACAUACGUCCUAAACCCAAAAACUUACUUUUGACAAAAGAACGCGAGGACACAAACUCGAGACGAUGUGCAUAUAACUUGGUUUUCCUAACAAUGAACUCAAGGCGAGAUAACCGAGACAAUCAAUGUCACAAAAUUAAUGUCAAAUAACCGAGUGCCGGUUUCAAUCUCCCCCUUUGACAUUGAUUUUGUGACAAAAACCUAUGACUAUAGUAGCACUUAUAAAACGUGCAUACAAACCCAAACCAUGGCAUUUAUAAGAGAUGCCUACAAGAACACUCAUAGUAAAUACAUACCAAAUCACCAACACUUGAUAUUCUGGUCAAGUAAGAUUCUUUAAUCAUCAGAGACCGAACGGAAGCAACAAUGAAUUCUGUAAAUCAGAGAGCCAACGGAAGUUUCUCGAACAACUCCCCCAUACUUCAUGAGUCCCAAAAUUUGAUACUCGAGCUCCCCCGAAACUGUACAAUCUCAAACCAUCAUCACUUUCACUCCCCCAUACGUGUAGCAUACCUGAAACAUGACCCAAGAUACACUAACAAAGAAGAAGAAUGUGCUAGUAUUAGAGUCAUACAUCUCCUCAUUUUUGUCACAAAAGAAGCAAUGUGACAAGAAAAAAACCAUAACAAGUAAACAAAAAUUAAGAAGAGAAUAAUAAAACAUGUUAACAAGAAAUAGAUAUUGAACAGAAGAUAUAGAACAAUCUCUUGUCAACACAACAUAAACACCAUCAACAUGAGAAAAAUCCUUAACUAAAUCAACUUCACAAACCUUAACAAGAAGAUAAAGAGAAAGAACCGAUGUACCAUAAAAGUGAAGAGGAACACAUCAUGAAAUUCCCAAAAUAGUAGUCAAUCCCAAUCCAUACAAAAAUAAGAGACAAUAUAUUGGGAUAAACAAAAGAUUGAACAACUAAGAGAAUUGAAGUGCAUCAUAAACUAAACCUCGGUGUGUGUAGAUGCAAUGCAAUGCAUAAAGAGAGAGAAAGUUCACCACUAGAAUACACCCUUUGAAGACCUAGAAUAUAGAACCAUCAACAAGAGACAUACGAUUAGUAAGUGAGCUUAGAAGAAACAAACUUCAACCCCCUUUGAAACAAACGUUAUGCGUAGAAGACAAACGAAUAUAAAUAUGAUCUUUCAAAUGAAAACCAAGACAUCCAAAAGGCGAAGGAAUAUAAACUUUGUAUGUCUUACAUAAAAACAAUGAACAUGCGCAUGGAUUUUUAUUUUGCCGCAUGUGGUGGAGUUUAGUCUACAUCACUCUAAUGUCAUUCCCGCGUGGGAGGUAUUUUUGCCUCCAUCUUUUCAAAUACAUGAGGGUAGGGUGUAGCCUACAUCUUUUUGACAGACACAAACUCAAGAAGUGCAAUACCAUGAUAACGUGCAACACAAGAACUAACAUCUCUUGAGUGCAUCCGUCAGAGCAUGACCCUCACAACCCCAACGGGUUCUUAGCCAACUGAUAUAAUUUAAAGACAAUCAAAUGGCUGGGGAUAAAGUGAGUCAUUGACCACUAACAAGAGUUGUAAGAGGAAGAUAAGAAUGCUCAAUAACACGAACAACAAGAUGAACAUUAACCAAAACAAAUGAGAGAUAGCUCAAGAUAACAUAAAUACUCAAGAGAUAGAGAAGUUUUAUGAGCUUAAAGAAUAUGUAAGUGGUUUCCAAAAACUCCCAUCAUGCAAGAAUGCCGUGCACUGUGCAAACAAGCGAGGAAAAAUGCAUGAUACAUACCAAAACAUACUUAAGAGUUCAGAAAGAGAAAACACCCAAACAUAUUGUAACUUAUUUAAGACAAUUGAAUUAAACCAAUAUUUCAGAAAAGAUGCAUCCAACAACACAUACAUGGAAUAAUGAAAGAACAAUUAACGCAUGCAUAAAUAGAAGAUCGAACAAAAAACACCAAACAAAUGGCCUAUGUGGUUAGAAAAAUAUGCAAUUAAAAUACCACAAGACUAGAAACAAACUACAUCAUCCCAAAUAUGGGACACCACCAGACUUUUGCAAGUCUAGAAAAACCUGCAACUUAUCUUUUCUUACCCAUACUUGUUUAACACUAGGCGUGCACACCUUGAAAGUUGAAAAGAUAUGAGAUUUCCCCUUAUCAAGUUUUUCAAUAGACUUGUGGUCCUUAACUAAUUCCACCUUAGUCUUUGACUUCCUUUUGUUGGAGUACCCGUUUUUCUUAAACCUAUGAGAAUAAGCAUUAGAGUUCCAAGGUCUAGAAAACGCACAAGAAGGAACAUAAGAAUCAACAUGAUUAUAAUUAUAAGGAACACGGGAAUAACAUUUAACAUGUUGAUUAAAAUCCCAACAAAAGAUAUCCAAAUGACCAUCUCUACCACAAUAAGAACAAUGAAAAACAGUAGACUUACUCAAAGAAUUUUUAUAAGGAGAUGUGGUAGUAGAAGAUGAAACAUGUAUGUCACCAUUGUAUUUGUGACAUGGUGCCUUAACAAAAUCUGUACCUCCACUAUGAGAACAAGAUGUCUUACCAGCAAAAACACCCGUACCAUUAUCCUUAGACUUAAACUUUUUGCCAGAAACAUGCUGAAAAGUAUUAGUAUUAAGUAUAGUCUCAAUAGGUGGGGUAGGCAAAAGGGCAGGCAAACUAGAUUUUACAGAAGUAGUCACACUAGAUGGUCUAGUAGAACUAGCAAUAGGAGAGUCAAAUUUAGUUUUGUCCAAAACCUGCAAUUGAAGUUGAGUAGACGUUAAAUCGUUCUUUGUUACCUCAUACUCCACCAAUAGAGAUUUGUAUUUCUCAUCGACCUCCUGAUUGACCUUCUCUAAAGCUGCAAUUCUACAUAACAAGUCAAGUUUUUCUUUGUCAAAUAAUUGAGAAAUAGAAAUUGCAUCAUCUGCAGCAGAAAUAAUUUGUUUUUCAAGAGUCUCAAUUUUAUCCUGCAAAGUAAAAUUAGCCUUUUCCAAUUUUUUGAUUUUGGAAUCAUAAACUUCCCCUUGAAGCAUAUAGUCUUCUGCACAAUCUCUGAGUCGUUGUUCUAGAGAAUCAACCUUAGUCUGCAAAACACCAUUAUCUUUAAAACAAAAAUUAUCAGAAAUAGUAGAUAAAUUUGAAUUAGCUUUAUUGAACUUUUCCUGCAAAUCAAUAUUAGCUUUUUGUGACCUUUCACAUUCUUUUGUAGAAAGUCUGUAAAGAAGAGCCCAAUCACUAUUGCUAACAACAUACAAAUUAACAUCUUUUUCAAAAUCAGAUUUUGGUUUUGUAGAUUUAGACGGUUUAGCAAUAAAAUUAUUAUAAGCAGACUCAUGAACCAUUAUUGCACUCAUAAGAUCUACGCGUGAGCCAUUACGUUCCAUAACAAGCGCCCUGCUCUGAUACCAAUUGAGAACCCAAUAUAUGUGCAAUAUAACAAUAGUAAAGCAAACAAUAAAGCAAUAAACAAAUAAAGAACACACGAUAUUUUUAACGUGGUAAAACCCAAUAUGGGAAACGUCCACAGUUGUCCUCGCGACAACAAAUAAAUCCACUAGAUGAAAAUAGAUGUCCAAACCUAUCAACUACCUGCAAUCACUGUGAGUUGACACUACUGGUUAUCUCUAACACCUUGACUUCACUAGAGUACCUUGAUGUACGCACAAGACACUCGAACUUCUUGAUGAACACACAAGAAGACUCGAAGUCGAUCUAUGAAGCAAGCUUACACCAGAGUUCCUUGAUGAACACACAAGGAUACUCGACUUCUUGAUGAACACACAAGAAAACUCGAAGCUGAUCUCAAUAAUUAUUCAAUAAGGAAGAAGAAGAUGAAUGGGGAAGAAGAAGAUGAGUUCAAUCACCAAAACAACCUAAACCAAAACCCAAACAAACUCCAAGACUAGAGAUGAAUUGGACAGCCAAAGAACUCAUUUGUUCAUUGGGUAGAGAAACCCUAUAUAUAGUUAGGGUUUGGAAACAUAGAAAAUGGGCCGGACUUUGCAGAUUUUACAUUGGACGUACGUACGUCGAAACAACGUACAUACGUCCCCACACGGAAAUAGUUCGCUGCCUGCUUGGACAUACGUACGUCCUAACUAGGUACGUACGUCCUGACCAAAACAUGUUUGCUGCCUAACAUGACGUACGUACACCCUAACUAGGUACGUACGUCCUAAACACUAAAACUUACUUUUGACAAAAGGACGCGAGGACACAAACUCGGGACGAUGCGCGUACAACUUGGUUUUCCUAACAAUGAACUCAAGGCGAGAUAACCGAGACAAUCAAUGUCACAAAAUUAAUGUCAAAUAACCGAGGCCGGUUUCACUGAAAUCACUAGCAAUGACGACAAGAAUUAGUUCAAUUGGUUUAAUACUGUACCUGCAACAGAUCUCUGUCAUUCAAGUGUAGCCUGUGCUUGUUUUGUUUUGUUUUGACAUUAAGGGGGCUACACUUAAAAGAGUAGCUAUGUUAUAAUUUCCGAUAUAAUUAAACUAUAUAUACAAACUUUUCAUGUUCGUAUAGGCCAUUUUUUUUUAUGUCAGAUGUUGUUAAAUGUUAAAUAUUGCUUGUUCGAGUAACUCUUGUACAUACAUUACACAUGCAAAAAUAUAAUUAUUGUUUCAUCGGUCUGAGAUCAUGAGUAAUAGUUCCGAUAAGAAAAGAAAAAGAAGUUCCGACCUAAACGAUUAUUUUGAAGCUUUAUGUAAGCAGAUGCUCAAGCUGAAAGUCUUGAGAGACAAAGUGGCCACAGGAGGGGAAGUACGAAUGGCUGGUUGGCUACAGAUUGUUAAAGACAAAGAAAGAGAGGUGCGUGAAAUUGAAAUGAAGUUGAGAAAGUUAGAAAAAUAUCGUUUACCUCGUCCAAAUUCCAGGGAAAGGCUAAAAGAAAGGAUCAUUAAAAGUAUAACAACGGUGAAAGCUUUGAUCAAAAGUAAGGAUGAAAUCUCAUUAGCAAUGGAAACGUUCAGAAGGGCAGCUGAAGAAAUAUACCUCUAAUUUCCCGACUGAGAUAGGUUCUGGUGAUUUUGUGUUUCGUAAUAAUGUGGAAAUAGCCGUUAAGGUACUGCAUGACAGUGGAAUCGACAACAUGGAAAAGCAAUUUAAGGCUGAAAUAAACAGAAUGAGCAGAACUUCUCAUCGAAACUUAGCCAAGCUCUACGGUUAUUGUUUUGAUUCCUAAUCCUUAUUUCAAUCAAGACUUAUGGCAUUUUCCACAGGGAACCAAGUUAAUCUCAGAAGUCUAGCUAGAGCUACAUGACUGAAUCGGGCGGUAUAGACAUUGAAGUGUCAGAAGAAGGAAGAAGCACAACAAGGGAAUCAGACGGUUGUAAGAUUUUCAUUAACAACGGCUUUCAUGUUGUCAUCAAAACAGAACCCAUAUUAUGUUAUAUGUGUUAUUUUCCAGUUGAAUAAGUCUUAGUUGUUAUGAGUUAAGCCUAAUAAGUAGAAAGUAGAGUGUAGUCUUAUAGGGGUUAGUUGCAACUUAACGUUGGAGUGGGUUGUUGUAACUUAGUCCUGUUUUAUUAGUAAGAUAUUUGUAACACCUUCUAUUUAAGGUGCAGCAGUCAUUAAUAAAAGUAUGCUUAUGAAUUAUCUCCAAUUAUCC